GCCGCGGCGCCCGCCCGCCCUACGAUUGCUGAAACACGCGAAUUCGCGAAAAUUUACGAUACGAACAUUUUAAAAUGAACAUUUUUAGAUUUUGAGUAAUUUAGUGAUAGUAAUGAGUAGUGGUAGAUUUUCUGGCACUAAUAAAUAUUUUUUGAAAAUUAAGUUAAGUUAAACUUUUGAAAAUCAAGAAAAUAAUAUUAACAUAAUAAGUAUAAAAUAAAUUAGUUACUACAACUUAAUAUAUAUAAAAUAAAUUAGAUUUAAACUGUUUUAGAAGUAACCUUAAAAAGCAGUAAAGCUAAGUUUAUUAUAACCAUAACGCGUUAGGUUAAAAAUAACUGGAGUUAACAUAACCGGUAGUUGAUAAUUCAGAAUAUACCUUAUUGAUGGAAUUAUAGGUUUUGAGACUAAGCGAUUGUGAACUCUAUGUGUAGUAUUUAAGGUUGAUUUUCGACGUGUACUGAAGGACAAUUGGGGGAGGUGUAUUAUGUAAAUAUUGGUGUAAAAGUAAAUCGUUCGAGGAGCGUUCGGUCGGAGAUUCCGGAAUCGUGUUUUGCAAAUGCCAACGUUGUGAUCGCAGAUAAACUCGCGAGAUUCUAACUCCAUUUAGGUA